rnacentral:rRNA from 1 species
GAUGAACGCUGGCUACAGGCUUAACACAUGCAAGUCGAGGGGAAACGACGGGGAAGCUUGCUUCCCCGGGCGUCGACCGGCGCACGGGUGAGUAACGCGUAUCCAACCUGCCUCUGACUGAGGGAUAACCCGUCGAAAGUCGGCCUAAUACCUCAUGGUAUCGUCUGCGGGCAUCCAACGACGAUUAAAGAUUUCAUCGGUCAGGGAUGGGGAUGCGUCUGAUUAGCUUGUUGGCGGGGUAACGGCCCACCAAGGCUACGAUCAGUAGGGGUUCUGAGAGGAAGGUCCCCCACAUUGGAACUGAGACACGGUCCAAACUCCUACGGGAGGCAGCAGUGAGGAAUAUUGGUCAAUGGGCGAGAGCCUGAACCAGCCAAGUAGCGUGCAGGAAGACGGCCCUAUGGGUUGUAAACUGCUUUUAUGCGGGGAUAAAGUGAGGGACGUGUCCCUCAUUGCAGGUACCGCAUAAAUAAGGACCGGCUAAUUCCGUG